AACGAAAAGUCUAAUGGCACAGCAAUUCAGCAUGCAUCUAUUUGAAAACGUUUCACCUUACGCCUACAGCAAGAUCAACUGAAGGUUGCCUGACGUGGUGGGGGUGUGGCUGUGAAGACAUGGAUAAUUGGGUUGAUCGCAAUGAACAGAAUCAAUUGCUGCUAUCUUCGGACGCAGAGAGCACCUUUUGCUUCAACAGCUUCUACUUUGACAACAAAGCUUUGGAUUCUACUUGACUACACGACUGGGAUUCACUCUUGAAAAGGUACACAUUGUUUGCAUGGUAUUGCAUUGCAGCCAAUGAGUUCAAAGAGGUUGGCCAGACAGAUCUACACAUAGGAAUGGAAGAGGGCGCGGCGAGAGGUGUUGAAUGUGCGAGCACUGGUGCGAGCACUGGUGCGUGCCCAGCUGGAUGCAGGAGAUGCAGCAAACAGGGCAGAGGAGUCUGCACGAGAUGCAGCAAGCAGGGAAGAGCAGGCUGCGCGAGAUGCAGCAAGGACAGGCCAGGCUCUGCAAGAAGCAGAGCAACAACAUAAUGGACCUCAA